rnacentral:rRNA from 1 species
AGGAUGAACGCUGGCGGCGUGCUUAACACAUGCAAGUCGAACGGUGAAGGAGAGCUUGCUCUCCGGAUCAGUGGCGAACGGGUGAGUAACACGUGAGCAAUCUGCCCCUGACUCUGGGAUAAGCGUUGGAAACGACGUCUAAUACCGGAUACGAGCUGCGAAGGCAUCUUCAGCAGCUGGAAAGAACUUCGGUCAGGGAUGAGCUCGCGGCCUAUCAGCUAGUUGGUGAGGUAAUGGCUCACCAAGGCGUCGACGGGUAGCCGGCCUGAGAGGGUGACCGGGCCACGACUGGGACUGAGACACGGCCCAGACUCCUACGGGAGGCAGCAGUGGGGAAUAUUGCACAAUGGGCGCAAGCCUGAUGCAGCAACGCCGCGUGAGGACGACGGCCUUCGGUGUAACCGUCUUUAGCAGGAGAAGCGAAAGUGAGUACCUGCAGAAAAGCACCGGCUAACUACGUGCCAGCAGCCG